rnacentral:rRNA from 1 species
GAUGAACGCUGGCGGCGUGCCUAAUACAUGCAAGUCGAGCGAACAGACGAGGAGCUUGCUCCUCUGACGUUAGCGGCGGACGGGUGAGUAACACGUGGAUAACCUACCUAUAAGACUGGGAUAACUUCGGGAAACCGGAGCUAAUACCGGAUAAUAUAUUGAACCGCGUGGUUCAAUAGUGAAAGACGGUUUUGCUGUCACUUAUAGAUGGAUCCGCGCCGCAUUAGCUAGUUGGUAAGGUAACGGCUUACCAAGGCAACGAUGCGUAGCCGACCUGAGAGGGUGAUCGGCCACACUGGAACUGAGACACGGUCCAGACUCCUACGGGAGGCAGCAGUAGGGAAUCUUCCGCAAUGGGCGAAAGCCUGACGGAGCAACGCCGCGUGAGUGAUGAAGGUCUUCGGAUCGUAAAACUCUGUUAUUAGGGAAGAACAAAUGUGUAAGUAACUAUGCACGUCUUGACGGUACCUAAUCAGAAAGCCACGGCUAACUACGAG